rnacentral:rRNA from 1 species
GACGUACUCUAGAAGACAUCUGAAAGAGAUUAAAGAUUUAUCGGUGAUGGAUGGGGAUGCGUCUGAUUAGCUUGUUGGCGGGGUAACGGCCCACCAAGGCGACGAUCAGUAGGGGUUCUGAGAGGAAGGUCCCCCACAUUGGAACUGAGACACGGUCCAAACUCCUACGGGAGGCAGCAGUGAGGAAUAUUGGUCAAUGGACGAGAGUCUGAACCAGCCAAGUAGCGUGCAGGAAGACGGCCCUAUGGGUUGUAAACUGCUUUUAUAAGGGAAUAAAGUGAGUCUCGUGAGACUUUUUGCAUGUACCUUAUGAAUAAGGACCGGCUAAUUCCGUG